AUUGAACGCUGGCGGCAUGCCUUACACAUGCAAGUCGAACGGCAGCACGGGAGCAAUCCUGGUGGCGAGUGGCGAACGGGUGAGUAAUAUAUCGGAACGUGCCCGGUCGUGGGGGAUAACGUAGCGAAAGCUACGCUAAUACCGCAUACGAUCUACGGAUGAAAGCGGGGGAUCGCAAGACCUCGCGCGAUUGGAGCGGCCGAUAUCAGAUUAGGUAGUUGGUGAGGUAAAGGCUCACCAAGCCGACGAUCUGUAGCUGGUCUGAGAGGACGACCAGCCACACUGGGACUGAGACACGGCCCAGACUCCUACAGGAGGCAGCAGUGGGGAAUUUUGGACAAUGGGCGCAAGCCUGAUCCAGCAAUGCCGCGUGCAGGAUGAAGGCCUUCGGUUGGUAACUAGCUUUUGUUACGGUAACGAAACCGGUUAGGA
rnacentral:rRNA from 1 species